GGGCCCUUAGCUCAGUCUGGUUAGAGCGCUCGGCUCAUAACACGAGUGUACGUCUGUGCGGUCGUGUGGGAUACCGAGUGGUCGAUGGUUCGAAUCCGUCAGGGCCCA
rfam:Natronolimnobius baerhuensis strain CGMCC 1.3597 ZB100002, whole genome shotgun sequence.